UACGGGGGGGGCAAGCGUUGUUCGGAAUUACUGGGCGUAAAGGGCUCGUAGGUGGCCAACUAAGUCAGACGUGAAAUCCCUCGGCUUAACCGGGGAACUGCGUCUGAUACUGGAUGGCUGGAGUUUGGGAGAGGGAUGCGGAAUUCCAGGUGUAGCGGUGAAAUGCGUAGAUAUCUGGAGGAACACCGGUGGCGAAGGCGGCAUCCUGGACCAAUUCUGACACUGAGGAGCGAAAGCCAGGGGAGCAAACGGG
rnacentral:rRNA from 1 species